AAAAAAUAUAUAUAUAUAUACACACACACUGCAUUUCUCUGUUCGGAAAUGGAAUAUUUUUAUAUCUUUAUGGCGGAAAAGAAACAAAGAAAAAUAUAAGGUUAUAUAGUAGAGCGAAAAGUGCAAAAUCCGAGAAAUUCAAUAGUUUCGAAUGGGGGCUAAACAUUUUGGACUGCGAGGUCUUUUAAAAGCCGGUGGACUGGUGAGUCGGUCACUCUGCCAACUCAGCGUUUCGUCCCCCUUCUUUUACCGAAUGUCAGCUCUCAUUCCCGACCACAUUCCACGGGUUCACCGAAUGCCUGGAGCGUCAGUACGGUGCCACACUUGACCCACUGAAGUUAACUUAGUCGCUGCCAAAACUGCGAAAUGACUUGGCUCGGAAUUUUCAGCGAGCAUUUAAGAAUUCCUCUUUUUGCCCGAAAACCAUCUCUACGUUAGCUCUCUCGCAUCCAACAAUCGCAUUUCUAUAAUUAAAACCAAUGUCAGCAUCUCACUCCAAGGAUUUAUUACUAGAAAUAAAUCAGGCGGGCACCUACUCCUUAUCGCUUCGAUCUGGAAAAGAUUUUUCCAAACCGUUCCGAAAUGCUAAAACAGUAAUGUAAAUGGUCUCCGCAAUCGGAAUCUCCAACAUCCUUGACACGAAAAUUAUUGGACGAUAAGAUUUUUUCUUUUUAACAAGAAAUCGAACCAUUAAAUUCUGGAAUGCGAAUAAAUUUAACGAGAUCGAACAAGGUAGUAAGUGCCGUAUCCAGAGUUUCGCUAAUUUAAACGACCUUUAAUGGCAAUAAUCAUUUUGUUUUCUGAUUUUUUGUAUCAGUCGAGCGUGAAUUUUGGCCAUCUACCAAUAAACCUUGUGACCCCGGAGGUCAUCGGCUUGGCGCCGCUUUGCUUCACUCCGAUAGUCGAUGUCCCGCUCCUUUCGACCAGUCUCCAGGCUCCCACCACAUUAUUGGGAUCAAUAAUCCGUUGGAAAAUACAGAAACUCACACUCAUCAAAUAGCAUAAUUGUUACUUAUCACUAUAUUUACAGAUUCGACAAACAAAUGAUUGUGACGUUUAUUCCACUCUCGGCACAUUUGUUAUUCCCCAUACUUAUCUCCGUCCCUUCCAAAUUAUAUGUGUAUACACGAAUAGAAAAAAUUCUUAGCAUUUUUUGACUUCUCAAAAAAAUCCGCCUCCAUUUACUUAAUCGAAAUUUAAGACGUCAUUUACCCAUUCCCGUUUUAAGAUGACAUAAAAAUCAUUUUAUUACAGAAUUAAGCUACAUUAAUUUAUGUUAUUUUUAGUUUUACAUCGGUUUAUCCGAAAAUUAAAAAAUUCCGCCAUUCACCCCAACGCGCUACUUCUAUGCAACUAACUUUUUAUUGUUACUGCAUUGUACUUCGAACAGUUUUAUCACGCAAAUGCACUUAGAAUCAAAAAUUCUGGAUAAAUUAAAAUCAUUUAAUUUUCUUUCUCGCGCAAAUUAAUUUUAAACAUUUCCAAUGAUAAACUUUCAAAAAUUGCGAUUAAUUAUAAUUUUCUGCAUUGCUGGGGUUAAUAAGAAACCAGAUAUAUGUAUUCAUGACUAGUUAAAAUUAAUUUUAUGCCUCUUAUUUUCUAUUUUUGAAAGAUAAGAAUUUGUGAAAUUCGAUAUGCGCUACUAGAUCCAUUGAGAAAAUUUGUACUGUGUAUAGAACAAGGAAAUCCCUAGUUAAGACCAUUCCUCAUAGUUUUUAAUUAUAUUUUAUUCGGAAAUUAAUUAAAAGGAUAAAAAAAUAAUCAGUUAUUUGCUUAUUGAACUAUCGGUUGGUUAACAGAUCGACAUACUUAAGCUACUUUUGCGUAUAUAAGUCGACCAAAAUCCUCUUAUUAUUGUUUUUCUUUUUAUUAUUAUUAUUAUUUUUAUUUUUAGCAUGGU
rnacentral:lncRNA from 1 species